rnacentral:tRNA from 1 species
UCCUGGGUGGCUCAGUUGGUUGAGCAUUUGACUUUUGCUCAAGUCGUGAUCCCACAGUUCGUGAGUUCAAGCCCUGCCUUGGGCU